rnacentral:rRNA from 1 species
ACAGUUCUACUGGCUGGCUUUGCUGGCUGUAGGCUGAUUAAUUACAGACAACUCUCAACAACGGAUAUCUUGGCUCCCGUAACGAUGAAGAACGCAGCGAAAUGCGAUACGUAGUGUGAAUUGCAGAAUUCCGUGAACCAUCGAAUCUUUGAACGCAAAUUGCGCUCGAGGCUUCGGCCAAGAGCAUGUCUGCCUCAGCGUCG